rnacentral:lncRNA from 1 species
GGGCGGGGGUGGGGUGGGGGGGUAGCAGGAUGAGGGAUGGCCCCCAUGGGGGACAGUCAGCACCAGCCCCUGGGCCACUGGGGCCCUAUGUGCAGGUGCCAGGGGUGGGCGUCCCCUGCCAGAAGACCACCACAGAGUGGGGGCUCCAUCCCGGCCUCCACCCAUCAUCUCUCCGCCCAUCCCCCACCUCCCCCAGCUCCUUCCUGUUUUGAUGGAAGGAAAAAAUUUCAGCUUUUUCCUUCUUUAUUUUUCCAGACGGGUGACUCGCUCGCUGGGGAAAGGAAUUCCCCCCUCCCCAAACCAUCAUAAUACCUAUAAAUCGAUGCCAUAGAUCCAGGCCCAUCCUGUUGUGCGGGAUAGUCACCGCUAUUUUUGGGUGCUGUUGUGGGGGUGGUACCCCAGGGGAGGGGAUGGGGAGGGGCGGUCUCGGCUGCCUUCUCCCAGUCCACGUCCCCCCCUCCCCACGUUCNNNNNNCCCCACCCCCCUCCCUGCCCGAGUUCUGGGAGGAGGAAGGAAGCCUGCUUAGCCGGGUAUAAAUAACUCAGGUGACUACUCAGCUCCUGAGAACAUGGUAACAUGAGUCACGAUGUGAAAUCAAGAGGAGCAGAGAACAGCCUUGGGCCGCCCCCCACACACACACCCGCCCAGGGCAGUGCGGCUGCGGGCGGAGGAGAUCUGGGGCCCGGAGACCCCCGGUGGGCAGCGCCCGGGAGGACAGGCCCAGCUGCCGGCCCAUGUGUGGUCUCGGGCGAGCCUCCACCGAGCUUAGACUCUUCGUUCACUCAUCUGGAACCCAGGGCGGAGUGGCCUGGGCUCGGUUCCCAAGGCCCUCCCUGAGCCGGGAAGAGCGUGAGAGCAGGGCCAGGGUCUGGGCACCUCAGCCCUGGCCUCUCCCUUCGCCUGUCACAGUCAGUGGGAAGAGCAGUUCUCUUGGAACUUCGGGUCCCCUCCCCCCAUGUCCAAGGCAGGUGUCCAAGGAGUUCCCUGGGCCUCCAUGGGACUGGCAGGACAGGUGGCCGGGGCUGAGAGAAGAGCACAAGCUUCUGGACACUUGGCCUCCCGAGCCUUCCUCCACCGGGGGGACCUUGAACCAGGGAGCGCCUGGCCAGACUGCACUGGGAGAGGCCUGGCUCAUGUAGAAUCCCAACUGUGGGAUCUAGCUGGGAUCCGCUUGCUCUUAGGCAUCGGGAAAUGGAGGUGUGACGAGGCUGAGCGAGUCGGUGCCAACGCACAGCGACACCACUCAAAUGCAGCGUCUUUGAUCUGUGACAUAGAUGACCUCAUUGACCCUUCUCCCGGGGAGACACACUCCUCCCGUGUUCCAAAUUUGCAAAAGCAAUGCUCUCUGGCUUCCGGACAAGAUCAGAAAAUGCAAUGUAGCUUCUGCUUGGUUCUCUUGAGACACUCAACUCUGAAGCUCACAGCCGCUUCCAUGCUGUGAGGAAGCCCAACGAGCCCACGCAGAGGGACGAAAUGGAGGGGCCAUCGGCUGCAACAGCUUGAGGGACCCCAAGCCAGACUGCCCCACCCACAGAAACUACGAGAACCAAUAAAAUGACUCUUGUUGUUUUAAGCUGCUAAGAG